ACCAUGGUUUCAACGGGUAACGGGGAAUAAGGGUUCGAUUCUGGAGAGGGAGCCUGAGAAAUGGCUACCAUAUCCAAGGAAGGUAGCAGGUGUGUAAAUUACCUAAUCCCGAUAUGGGGAGGUAGUGACAAUAAAUAACGAUGUAGGGCCCUUUUGGGUCUUAUAAUUGGAAUGAGUAUAAUUUAAAUUCCUUAAUGAGGAACAAUUGGAGGGUAAGUUUGGUGCCAGUAGUUGUGGUAAUUCUAGCUCCAAUAGCGUAUAUUAAAGUUGUUGCAGUUAAAAAGCUCGUAGUUGAACUUCAGACCUGGCUGGAUGGUCUGCCUAAUGGUAUGUACUGUCCGGCUGGGCCUUACCUCUUGGUGAGCCGGCAUGCCCUUUAUUGGGUGUGUCGGGGAACCAGGACUUUUACCUUGAGAAAAUUAGAGUGUUCAAAGCAGGUUUAUGCUCGAAUACAUUAGCAUGGAAUAAUAAAAUAGGACGUGCGGUUCUAUUUUGUUGGUUUUUAGAGUCGCCGUAAUGAUUAGUAGGGAUAGUUGGGGGUAUUAGUAUUCAGUUGUUAGAGGUGAAAUUCUUGGAUUUACUGAAGACUAAUUACUGCGAAAGCAUUUGUUAAGGAUGUUUUCAUUAAUUAAGAACGAAGGUUAGGGGAUCGAAAAUGAUCAGAUACCGUUGUAGUCUUAACAGUAAACUAUGCCGACUAGGGAUCGGGCGAACUCAAUUUUAUGUGUCGCUCGGCACCUUACGAGAAAUCAAAGUUUUUGGGUUCUGGGGGGAGUAUGGUCGUAAGGCUGAAAUUUAAAGGAAUUGACGGAAGGGCACCACCAGGAGUGGAGCCUGCGGCUUAAUUUGAUUUAACACGGGGAAACUCACCAGGUCCAGAUAUGAUUAGGAUUGAUAGAUUGAUAGUUCUUUCAUGAUUUUAUGGGUGGUGGUGCAUGGCCGUUUUUAGUUGGUGGAGUGAUUUGUCUGGUUAAUUCCGGUAACGAACGAGACCUUAUCCUGCUAAAUAGCCAGGCCGGCUUUUGCUGGUUGUUGGCUUCUUAGAGGGACUGCGGUUGUGUUUAGCCCGCGGAAGUUUGAGGUAAUAAUAGGUCUGUGAUGCCCUUAGAUGUUCUGGGCCGCACGCGCGCUACACUGACAGAGCCAGCGAGUUUUUUACCUUGGCCGGAAGGUCUGGGUAAUCUUGCGAAACUCUGUCGUGCUGGGGAUAGAGCAUUGUAAUUAUUGCUCUUUAACGAGGAAUUUUUAGUAAGCGUGAGUUAUUAGCUCGCGUUGAUUAUGUCCCUGCCCUUUGUACAUACCGCCCGUCGCUACUACCGAUUGAACGAA
rnacentral:rRNA from 1 species